rnacentral:rRNA from 1 species
AUUGAACGCUGGCGGCAUGCUUUACACAUGCAAGUCGAACGGUAACAGGCCGCAAGGUGCUGACGAGUGGCGAACGGGUGAGUAAUGCAUCGGAACGUGCCCAGUCGUGGGGGAUAACGCAGCGAAAGCUGCGCUAAUACCGCAUACGAUCUAUGAAUGAAAGCGGGGGACCGAAAGGCCUCGCGCGAUUGGAGCGGCCGAUGUCAGAUUAGGUAGUUGGUGGGGUAAAGGCCCACCAAGCCAACGAUCUGUAGCUGGUCUGAGAGGACGACCAGCCACACUGGGACUGAGACACGGCCCAGACUCCUACGGGAGGCAGCAGUGGGGAAUUUUGGACAAUGGGCGCAAGCCUGAUCCAGCAAUGCCGCGUGCAGGAAGAAGGCCUUCGGGUUGUAAACUGCUUUUGUACGGAACGAAACGGCUCUGGUUAAUACCUGGGGCUAAUGACGGUACCGUAAGAAUAAGCACCGGCUAACUACGUGCCAGCAGCCGCCGUAAGAC